AUACGGAGGGUGCAAGCGUUGUCCGGAUUUAUUGGGUUUAAAGGGUGCGUAGGCGGUUGCCUAAGUCAGUGGUGAAAUACUACAGCUCAACUGUAGGGGUGCCAUUGAAACUGAGUGACUUGAGUACAGAUGAGGUAGGCGGAAUUUAUGGUGUAGCGGUGAAAUGCAUAGAUACCAUAAAGAACACCGAUAGCGAAGGCAGCUUACUAGGCUGUAACUGACGCUGAGGCACGAAAGCAUGGGUAGCGAACAGGAUUAGAUACCCCAGUAGUCC
rnacentral:rRNA from 1 species